rnacentral:rRNA from 1 species
GAUGAACGCUGGCGGCGUGCCUAAUACAUGCAAGUCGAGCGAACAGACGAGGUGCUUGCUCCUCUGACGUUAGCGGCGGACGGGUGAGUAACACGUGGAUAACCUACCUAUAAGACUGGGAUAACUUCGGGAAACCGGAGCUAAUACCGGAUAAUAUAUUGAACCGCAUGGUUCAAUAGUGAAAGACGGUUUUGCUGUCACUUAUAGAUGGAUCCGCGCCGCAUUAGCUAGUUGGUAAGGUAACGGCUUACCAAGGCGACGAUGCGUAGCCGACCUGAGAGGGUGAUCGGCCACACUGGAACUGAGACACGGUCCAGACUCCUACGGGAGGCAGCAGUAGGGAAUCUUCCGCAAUGGGCGAAAGCUUGACGGAGCAACGCCGCGUGAGUGAUGAAGGUCUUCGGAUCGUAAAACUCUGUUAUUAGGGAAGAACAAAUGUGUAAGUAACUAUGCACGUCUUGACGGUACCUAAUCAGAAAGCCACGGCUAACUACGUG